UCAGUGAAUAUUUUGGAAGUAGAAAUAGCUGCAAUUUCUAUUACUGUCACCGGAUGGUGCACUUACACCAGUUGCAUGAGUUUUUCACUCCACUGCUGUAGUUUUCGAUUGCUUCAACAGACAACACGUCCUGUGGAGUGGUGUUCAAGUUUCUAAUGGUCCAUGAGGUUUCCUUUCGCAUAGGCUUCAAAACAAGACUUAAAGCAACACUGUGUAACUUUUGGCGCUCUAGCGGUUCAACGGAACUGGACGCAUCUCGCGGAAGAACAUUCUGACCUGAGCUACUUCUCUCUACUUUGAUCAAUAGUGAUUCACGCAGUACCAGCUGACCUACUAAUAGCAUUAUGGUUUGUUUUUGGCCAAUGUGCUCUUCAGGCGUUGGACCCGGUGGACCAGCGCUCUGUCACGUGUGUCAUCACCUAGCGGUCGAAAGGCAUUUCAGUGGGAAUUUGUGGGAAACUUGGAUUCUUUUAAUUCAGUGAGAGCAAACUGAACCUGAGUGGAUCAGAAGCUGUUGUUGUGGUGCCCUCCAAUCCUCAGUUUAACAUUGCCACUUUUGGAGCAUUUCUCAAAACUGAGGUGUUAAGUGGAUCCGGGCGUCUGUACACGUGCUUCACGUCCCGUCACUACUGCCUAUACCCUGCCUUCUCGUUCUCUGUGCUCCGGAGAAACGAAAGUCUGAUGAAACUGUUGGCACAGCUGUGGUUGAGGAAGGCAUGUCAUAGUCGGGGGCGAACACAUCAGUGCAUCUGUCAGACACCAGAGCCCUGUCCCAAACAACGGUUUCCA